rnacentral:rRNA from 1 species
UACGUAGGGUGCAGGCGUUAAUCGGAAUUACUGGGCGUAAAGGGCGCGUAGGCGGCGACUCAAGUUAGAUGUGAAAGUCCUGGGCUUAACCUGGGGACUGCAUUUGAUACUGGGUUGCUUGAAUUCGGGAGAGGAUAGCGGAAUUCCCAGUGUAGAGGUGAAAUUCGUAGAUAUUGGGAAGAACACCGGUGGCGAAGGCGGCUAUCUGGACCGACAUUGACGCUGAGGCGCGAAAGCGUGGGGAGCAAACAGG